GCCGGCGUGGCGAAAUGGCAGACGCAAGGGACUUAAAAUCCCUUAUUCCGAAAGGAGUGUGCGGGUUCGAGUCCCGCCGCCGGCA
rnacentral:tRNA from 1 species